GACGAACGCUGGCGGCGUGCCUAAUACAUGCAAGUAGAACGCUGAAGAGAGGAGCUUGCUCUUCUUGGAUGAGUUGCGAACGGGUGAGUAACGCGUAGGUAACCUGCCUUGUAGCGGGGGAUAACUAUUGGAAACGAUAGCUAAUACCGCAUAACAAUGGAUGACACAUGUCAUUUAUUUGAAAGGGGCAAUUGCUCCACUACAAGAUGGACCUGCGUUGUAUUAGCUAGUAGGUGAGGUAACGGCUCACCUAGGCGACGAUACAUAGCCGACCUGAGAGGGUGAUCGGCCACACUGGGACUGAGACACGGCCCAGACUCCUACGGGAGGCAGCAGUAGGGAAUCUUCGGCAAUGGGGGCAACCCUGACCGAGCAACGCCGCGUGAGUGAAGAAGGUUUUCGGAUCGUAAAGCUCUGUUGUAAGUCAAGAACGAGUGUGAGAGUGGAAAGUUCACACUGUGACGGUAGCUUACCAGAAAGGGACGGCUAACUACGUGCCAGCAGCCGCGGUAAUACGUAGGUCCCGAGCGUUGUCCGGAUUUAUUGGGCGUAAAGCGAGCGCAGGCGGUUUGAUAAGUCUGAAGUUAAAGGCUGUGGCUCAACCAUAGUUCGCUUUGGAAACUGUCAAACUUGAGUGCAGAAGGGGAGAGUGGAAUUCCAUGUGUAGCGGUGAAAUGCGUAGAUAUAUGGAGGAACACCGGUGGCGAAAGCGGCUCUCUGGUCUGUAACUGACGCUGAGGCUCGAAAGCGUGGGGAGCGAACAGGAUUAGAUACCCUGGUAGUCCACGCCGUAAACGAUGAGUGCUAGGUGUUGGAUCCUUUCCGGGAUUCAGUGCCGCAGCUAACGCAUUAAGCACUCCGCCUGGGGAGUACGACCGCAAGGUUGAAACUCAAAGGAAUUGACGGGGGCCCGCACAAGCGGUGGAGCAUGUGGUUUAAUUCGAAGCAACGCGAAGAACCUUACCAGGUCUUGACAUCCCGAUGCUAUUUCUAGAGAUAGAAAGUUACUUCGGUACAUCGGUGACAGGUGGUGCAUGGUUGUCGUCAGCUCGUGUCGUGAGAUGUUGGGUUAAGUCCCGCAACGAGCGCAACCCCUAUUGUUAGUUGCCAUCAUUCAGUUGGGCACUCUAGCGAGACUGCCGGUAAUAAACCGGAGGAAGGAGGGGAUGACGUCAAAUCAUCAUGCCCCUUAUGACCUGGGCUACACACGUGCUACAAUGGUUGGUACAACGAGUUGCGAGUCGGUGACGGCAAGCUAAUCUCUUAAAGCCAAUCUCAGUUCGGAUUGUAGGCUGCAACUCGCCUACAUGAAGUCGGAAUCGCUAGUAAUCGCGGAUCAGCACGCCGCGGUGAAUACGUUCCCGGGCCU
rnacentral:rRNA from 1 species